GAGUGAUAAAGGAAACCAUCACUUGCCAGCAGUUUUGCACUGAUCUCAGACAGCUGACUUUGGGUAGCUGCAGGUUCCCAACUUCCAUGUGAUUACAGUAUUCUGAUUGGUCUCAUCUACUGUACCAACUAUUUGCCUGCAAGAUUGUAAUCAGAUGAAUUUACCAAAUGGGUUUACAACAACUAUGUGCUGUAUAAACUUUUGUACCUCUCUUGAUUAUAAUCUAUUACACCGUUGCAUUGAUAGGAUACUUUCAGAAUUAACUGUUUACAGAAAAAUGUUGCAUAUUGGCUUAAUAAUUUCGUAGUAAAAUUGAAGGAAUACAGAGUCUGUUACGAAUUGAAAAUGCCGAACAUGCAUACACAUCACCUAUCGCAAACAAUAUUAGAAAUUGCGGCAAACAAAUGGCAAGGCCACUACAAAACAGUGGUCCCUCAUGCACUAUGAUCUGUAUAACUAUCUUAUCAGCAUAUGUUUACUACAUUAUCAUGUUACUCCUGCACAUUUGCUUUCCGAGACAGUUAAGUCCUUCUCUACAGUUCUUUGACUGUCAUUUUCUUUUGCACUUAGGCGCAUUGUCUCUUCUACUGACCAGUAUACACACUACAAGUGUGUGUAUUAGAAUAGAUUCUCUUUUCCAAAAAAAUUAGAAAAAUCUAUCGUGAAACAAAAUAAAGAUAGGUGCAUCCCAUGCUUGCAUGGAUGUGCAUGUGCUCGUUCUUGGUGCUGCUGAACCCUUAUUACCAGUCAAACAUUGGGAAGCUAUCUUAUCAUUAGGUUAAAACUUUGUAAAAGAUUAACCUUUUGGGUUAGCCACUUUAACCUGAUUGGGUUGGCAUAAAGCCUGCCUGGUAAUCCUAACCUACGUGCAAGGAUUUAUCCGGCUUUUCAUCAGUGAUGAUGAUGAUGGCAAGACAAGUGCACACCUAAAGUUCCCAAGGGCCUACACGCCUUUCAUUUUUUAUGGUUGCAGCAGGGCUUAUGAAUGUUGAUUGAUGCUGAUGCCCUCUUGCUGUCUAAUUUUCAAAAUGUUUGCAGUAGUAGCAGGAUGUUGACUGAGUCAGGAACCAGCGAAAAUUUCCGCAAAGGACCAGAAGUUAUGUUACCCCCUCCUAUCCGGAUCCGACAUUGUAUAGAGGCUGCGUCAUUUAAUUCGGAUCAGAGGGAGUACAUGAUUUCAUUCCAGUGAAGUGUGAGAGGAUAAUCAUAUAGGUUCGAUCUUACUUACCAAACGGCGUAAUAGAUCUUUCAUUAUUUGUUUUUCUCUGCAGCUGUGUUUUUGUAUGAAUGAGGCAAAACUUUGCCUCUGUUUCAGAAAGAAAAAAGAUGAACAUUCAGGACCCGCAAACUGAACAUUACUCCCUCCGUCCCAUAAUAUAAAAAUGUUUUGUACACUAGUGUACUGUCAAAAAUGCUCUUAUAUUAUGGGACGGAGGGAGUAGUUGGUAAUAGUUGUGGUGGCCACUCAAAAUGGUUUGGAACGCAUGCUUUGAAAUCUUUGUAGCGUGGGUGGUGGCACAACAUCUGUCCUGAGCCAACCAAUCACUGUCCUUCGAGGCAUUCUUGUCCAUUGACAAUGCGAUGGUACUACUAUGUGUACUAGAAACAGGAGAGGCUUUCUCCUUGGGUGAUUCAGAAGCCAUUGUUUGUUGUUUGGACAGCAAGGCCGACCCCCCAAAUAGGCCUAAAAUGAAAAAGGUAAAUAGGGCUACCAAAUGUAUGUUGCCUUUCCUGCUUAGGUUCAUAUCAUAAGGUCAUACUACUAAAAUAACAUCCCCUGUGUUUUGGUGACUCGAAAAGCCUAAGCAGAGCUAAUGCUACCACUAGCAUGCCCCAGGUUUGGCACACUCUAGUAGAGCCUAGUUAGUGGACAAGAUUUUCUCCCUAAUGCACACACUUUUGCUUACUUCACUCUCACAAGCAAAGGGCCCUGGUGACCCCUAGUGAUUGGCAUGCACAGUCCUCUGUUCUCAUUGAAAUUGUGUGUGACAUUGACAUGACCAAACCUAGGCCACACUAUUUUUUUUUUCCUUUACCGUCCUUGUGGAAACGCUUGAGGCAUUUGGUCAAAGAAAAACAUUGCUGAGUGGUCAGGGAUAUUCAAGUCGCAUGGUAGAUAGCAUCUGCAUAGUUUCUCAAGCCUUUGCUUCAUCAAAGUGGGGGCACCAACCUAGAAAACCCACAUCUCUCGCCCCCUAGUUUACUUGCUACUAGUUGCCUAAAUUAUCAUCUGAUAUGCAGUAGGUUUGCCCACUAAUUUGAAAGAUCAACAAGAGCCAUGUCAACACUAAUUAGUCCAUUGAUUUCUUGAGUGCUGCAAUACUACUACUCACUAGAGCUCAUCACAGCUGGCCUCUUUUCUUAUCUUCUCUCUCCUUGGGACUGGGGAACCUGAAUUCAAGGCUGGGUUUACGCAUACAUGCAUGCAUGCAGGGUCCUGCAGCAAGCAAACCAUGAUAUGACGUGUCCUGGGUUUGUUUGAUCUGUGACACAUACCUGCUGGCCGGCUGGCUCGCAAUCCAUAAUGGCGCGUCCAAGAGAAACCCUCGGCUCAAAGGCAGCAAGGACGGGCCUGUACCGUGUACAACGCUUGUCCAUGGCAGAGUUGUUGGACGCAAGGCCGGGCGGGCUUGUACAGCCUUCAAUGCGGCGUGCCGGCCUGCCAAGGACCGUCCGUCCGUCGGUCACAGUAGGUAGAUCGACACCGCCAAGCCCUCAUUUUAGCCACUGCUGCUGCUCAAACAAGAAUGAAUGAUGUGUUCUUGCUGCUGCAUCUGGAAGCUUGGAGUUCAUACUGGAAUAUGUAUGUAUGAUCCGUCUCUCCAUCGUUUUCAGGCGCGACCUUUUGUCUGGAUCAUCCAUGGGCAGCUACUGAGGUGGUGGUCCAACGCUCCUUGAUCUUAGUGAGUUGAGGCCAAAUCUUGGCAUCUUCCCUUCGCGUAUAUAUUCAAAUGUGUAGCAAAUGGUAGUAAAUUAAACUGGAUCUAGGUAUGUGAAUGGGGACGGACGAUGCGUGCAGGACUGGCACUGUUGCGGUGCUCCAAAACAUCGGCCCUUGAAUCGUGCGCUCUUGUUCACGUAGCCUUCAACACGUAUGUUUAUGUCAUUUGUAUAUGUCGUGGCUGUCAAAUAUACAUGUGGUUAUGCAACCUGCUCCUGGAUGCCGACAGUUUGUCCUAGUUUGCGAGCAGAAGCACAUAUAUUGUGCAGGUAUUGCAGGCCCCUAUGGAACCAACGAAAUGGAGAGACUGAAUUUUUUUCUCAUAUGAUUAAGUUUUCAAAUUCCUAUAUCAAUAGAGAGAUUAAAUUCCAUGGCAUUUUGAGUAAAGGAAAUAUUGCCGUCAUUUUGAUCUGUCAAGUGUUGAGAUACAUCAAACUAAGAAAAGAGAAGGUGUUGAGAUACAUUAUGGAUGUGUCAGUAGGCACUGGAAGUAUUACGUUGACAAGAUGCUAUAGAUUAGCUCCAUGAUUCUUGAGUAGAUGCCAUGGCGUGUCCGUAUUAUGUCUGCUAAUUCGCAUAUGGCUACGUUUUCCCUGGUGGAUUUGGGGCCCUGGCCCCGCGAGGAUUAGCGGCCAGGCCAGGUGUUUUGUCUCAUCCCUCGGUACAUUCUGCAGAAGAAAUGCAGCGUUUUCUGUUGGCUGGAUUAAGGAUUUUCUGGGGAGAUGAUGCUGGGAGGUGGUUGAGAUUACACUGUCAACAUAUCCAUUAUCCAGUUUUUUAAUGUGUAGUCUGCAGCCUGCCUCUUUGAGAUCUUUAUUCGGUUCUAGGGUUUCCCUACCAUCUUAUAUAAUUUCUUGUGUGGAAAACUUUGGCGCAAGCCUGCUUUGGUUGCCAGAUGGAGUUUGUGGAUAGAGAAAGCCACAUUAUGAACCAAACCGUUCAUUAUUCCUUCCUUUUCUUGCCCCUUUCUGCCAAAUCAGACGUACCAAUGCAAUCACAACUGAUAAUACGUGGGCCAAAAUGCUAUUUAGUAAUGUAAGCACAAGCUAAUAGGCAAUGACGUCACGAUGAUGGAGGUGAUCUCACACUGAGUAAGAUCUCACAUCUUCAUCGUAGUAUUGGUGUGAUUAUCACGGAUUAUGCCAUGGAGCCUGUGGUAUUUUGGUCCAGUACGUGAACCAAAGGCUUGAUUUGGCGGAUGGUCAUGGCCGCGUUGGUGGGAUCACUUAUGUUGAGCUUGUUUUGGUAGCAUUUGUCCAAGCUCAUCCUUUUGUGCUCUCGGAUUUCUUUCGUAAAAGGGCAACGAUAAAGCAGUAGUUCAACAGUCUAUAUUAAGAGGAGUGAAGAAUCAAGAUUUUUAUUUGCGGGUGACUGAAGAAUCAAGAUGGUCAACUAGAACCGGGGGAGAAAGCGGGCGGGGUAGGUGACCACAAAUAUUUACUCACUUCAUCCCAAAAUGUAAGACGUAUUUUGACACUACCCAAAUGUAAGACGUUUUUUGAUACUAGUGUAGUGUCAAAAAUCCUCUUACAUUAUGGGACGGAGGGGGUAACUUUUUAGGUUUUGUGUAUAAGUAGGUUCUCUUGAUACGAAGCAGGAUAAACAUCAAGGUAAACAAUCACAAGUGACAACUUCUCCUUGAAAAUGCCACACCAAGUAGGAGCUCAAUCCCUAGUGUUUGGCUUUGAAGUGACCAUCAAACCUUCACAAACGCUUCCCAGAGCCUUUCAUAAUGUUGGAAGUUCUGGAAUGGACUCCUAUCACCUAGGAGUCCCCACAACUCCAAGUAACACAUUCGGUGAAGCGCAAGUAGGAGAUCAUGAUUUUGGCUCGAGACAAAUAGUGGAUAUAGUAGACCUCCUUUGAUUUCCUACAGUUUGUGCAAGUUUGGUUGGUGGGAGAGGGAGGAAGCAAGCUUUUUAAAGAUCAACAAUGGGAUGCAACUCAUAUCCAGAAACCAGAGCUGGAGGUAGAAGAAGGAGUGGUUUUUAUAGCUCCGCCACCAUUUUCAACUAUUAUUCACUGAAACAACCAAACAUGGAGUUUCAGCAUUCACAACAUGGAGAUUUGGGGUGACCAGAGGUGAAACACCCAAACCCGAAGAUAAAAUCUAGAGAUCGAGGUUUCAACUCUGAGGCAUACAAUAGCAAAACCAAGAUCUCGAAAAUCAAACCUGGAGUUUUGGUCUUUGCCUCCAGCCUAUCUGGAGAGCUGCAUAGAGGGAAAUAUUAGGGUUUUCUUUGUGUAGGCUUAGUGCUUGUAUUUUUGUGGUGGCUACAUGUGUAUGUUUUUCAUGAUCCACCAACUUCAACACCACCUCAACCCUCUUUAUAGUGUGAUUUUCCUCUGACUCAAAUAACCCAAAACUCCAGGAACAUAAAAUGGCGCCAACACCUUUCCCCUUUUUGAUUCGGGGGAGGAGGGGCUCACCUCCAUAUAUUCCAUUUAUUGGGACUAUGUAUCUAUAGAUCACUCGGUUAGACCUAACCAGGGGCUUAGAUAUCUUUUCAAAGAGUGUGUCAGUCGCAUUAUGUUUAAUAAUCUUACGUUCACACCCUUGGCGUGGGUGGUUAACAUAGAACCUCAACAGCUUUGAGGUCAAUCCAAGUUGUCAAGCUUGUUCUUUUGUAAUUUUUGUCAUCAAGCAAACACACAUAGGCAAAAGCUAGUGUUAUAGAUACACUAAAACAAACCUUUAUAUAACAUUGGGAUUUAUCAGUUUUCUCUUUAUUUGCGUUUGGCCCAGUUUGUUUUAUCUAUGUUAAUGUAUCUAUUUAUUCUAUAAAUCUAGAUCGUUGUUCCAAAAAGAAAAUAGAUGAUGCAAUUUAUAGGGAGUUACGAAAACAUUUCUUGGGGAAAAUGUGAAGUAUUUAUGGAGAGAAGUUCUACUAUGUUUGUGAUGAUACCAUGCUACUAACUAUAAGUGCAUCUAGUGCCCCUUUGUGGUUUGCAGUAUUGAUGACAAAAGUGGUUAAGGGACUAAUGUUUUUGUGAGUAUACACAAGUGAAAGUCUCUAAAGAUUUGUUUUAACCAUUGUAAGUGACCCCUAAAAAUGUGGAGAAACAUUGAAGAUUCGGUGUGCCAUCCUUGAAUAAUUAGGCAAAGAACUGGAUCGUGAAGACUUACGACGCGUUUGUUUCGGAGAAAAUCCGGGGUUUUCGAUUGCAGCGAUUUCAGAAAACGGAAGCCAUCGUUUGUUUCGCCCACGAUUAUUUCCAUAGCCGUGCUUUCCGAUACAACAUUUCACAAAAUUGAAAUCGCCGGAAUCUGACGUUACUAGAGAUCGAAGUGCGAUGGCACAAACCAAACAAAUCACAGAUUGCGUAAAAAUAAAUGGAAGCAACACUUCCCGAUACGAGAAAUCGAAUAUGUUACCUGGCCGGAACCAAACGCGUCAUUAGUCUUUUUCAUAGUUCUUUCUAUUCUUCAUUCAGUCAUAGGGAAACCAUACUGUUAAGGGGGGGGGGGUCAAGGUAUACGAAGUUAGUGUUUUUGAAGUGUCCCCAAUCCUGUUGAUUAUUUCGAGAACUUUGGAAAUCUCUUGCAGUGCAGUUCUUUUUCGUCCGUGUCUGAGAUGAUAUUCUUUCGGCCGCAGUAGUCAAAGUCCUCACUGAGGAGUUAGGAAACCAACAAUUUGUUUCUCCUACCCUAAGGAAAUUGAGAGUUUAAAAUUUUGAUUGUUGCCUCGCUGGUGACAACUAGGUGACGGGCCCGUCCCGUCCAAUGGUCACUUCGAGAUCUCAGGUUGUGACCCCCGCUAUAUAUACCAACCCCCUCCUCCACCAUAACUUUGUUGGUUGAUCUGUGAUAAUUUGCCGCAAGUGUCAUUUGAGCUACCCAUCCUUCUGAAGCAUUUGAGAGAAUCCUAGUGCGGAAAACCCCUAGUACCCAAAAGCCAAAGUGAUUGAGCAUUGAAGAAUCUGUUCUAAGUGAAUCAAAGACUUGUUACUCUUGAAGACUGUGAUCUUCCGGAUGGUUGGGCGUCUGUUCAGAGCUUCUAAGAGUCGUUGUUAAUUGCAGAGGAACAAGUAUGUGAAGGUUUGGAGAUCUACCACGAGUGAUUGGGGCGAGGUGAAAGUGAUCUUAGCUCAAGGAUAAUAGUGUGAAGACUUAGUAUUUUAAGAUAAAUCUCACCCUCUCGAAAACUAGAUGUAGAGUUGUCACAACAACUUGAUCUGGUCCAAUAAAUCGAUUUUCUUCACCGAGCUAUUGGUUCCACAUUCUUCACUCCUUUACAUUACGCACUAGCAUGUUGUGAAGAAUUCACUUCCUCCCUCUCUGAAUACUUUCUCUGGAGACUUUGCUAUUUCAGUGUUCUUUGGUAUGUUAAUUUUUGUCUUCAAUCUCGAUAUUUUGAAGUGUGUAUGUUUUUUGUUCAUCUAGUUGAUCUACUAUUACUUAGUAUGCAUGAUAUCUUUUGUUCUGAUGACUUUGCCUCAGUACUGAUUGCAUGCUAGUAGUAAUUUUUCUUCAACAAGUAAUUUCUUUUGUUCUGUUUAGCUCGUCGAUUCUUCAAGGAAAUAGUUUUUUUCCCAACGAUUUGAUAAAAAAAAUCUCCCAUUCACCUCUCUCUAGUCGAUUAAUUGCUCUUUCACCAACACAUGGUAAAAUCACCAAAAAAUCAUUAAAAAUGUGCUUGUGUGUGUGUGUGUGUGCGCACGCGCAUGCAUAGGCUUUCAUGAAUCACACUACAAAAUUCAAAUGAAAACACAAUAUAGAUCAAAAGAAAGGAAAAAAGACAUUUUUUGUGGACGGUAGUUUCACCUUUCCCUCUUUAAGGCUACUUUUUAGCGAACAUAUUGUUGGAAAUAUGCCCUAGAGGCAAUAAUAAAUAGGUUAUUAUUAUAUUUCCUUGUUCAUGAUAAUCAUUUAUUAUCCAUGCUAGAAUUGUAUUGAUAGGAAACUCAGAUACAUGUGUGGAUACAUAGACAACACCAUGUCCCUAGUAAGCCUCUAGUUGACUAGCUCGUUGAUCAAUAGAUGGUUACGGUUUCCUGACCAUGGACAUUGGAUGUCGUUGAUAACGGGAUCACAUCAUUAGGAGAAUGAUGUGAUGGACAAGACCCAAUCCUAAAGCCUAGCACAAGAUCGUGUAGUUCGUUUGCUCAGAGCUUUUCUAAUGUCAAGUAUCAUUUCCUUAGACCAUGAGAUUGUGCAACUCCCGGAUACCAUAGGAAUGCUUUGGGUGUACCAAAUGUCACAACGUAACUGGGUGGCUAUAAAGGUGCACUACAGGUAUCUCCGAAAGUGUCUGUUGGGUUGGCACGAAUCGAGACUGAGAUUUGUCACUCCGUAUAAACGGAGAGGUAUCUCUGGGCCCACUCGGUAGGACAUCAUCAUAAUGUGCACAGUGUGACCAAGGAGUUGAUCACGGGAUGAUGUGAGUUACGAAACGAGUAAAGAGACUUGCCGGUAACGAGAUUGAACAAGGUAUCGGGAUACCGACGAUCGAAUCUCGGGCAAGUAGCAUACCGAUAGACAAAGGGAAUUGUAUACGGGAUUAAUUGAAUCCCCGACAUCGUGGUUCAUCCGAUGAGAUCAUCGUGGAACAUGUGGGAGCCAACAUGGGUAUCCAGAUCCCGCUGUUGGUUAUUGACCGGAGAACGUCUCGGUCAUGUCUGCAUGGUUCCCGAACCCGUAGGGUCUACACACUUAAGUUUCGAUGACGCUAGGGUUAUAAAGGAAGUUUGUAUGUGGUUACCGAAUGUUGUUCGGAGUCCCGGAUGAGAUCCCGGACGUCACGAGGAGUUUCGGAGGUAAAGAUUUAUAUAUGGGAAGUCCUGUUUUGGUCACCGGAAAAGUUUUGGGUGAUAUCGGUAAUGUACCGGGACCACCGGGAGGGUCCCGGGGGUCCACCAAGUGGGGCCACCAGCCCCAGUAGGCUGCGUGGGCCAAGUGUGGGAGGGGACCAGCCCCAGGUGGGCUGGUGCGCCCCCCCACCAAGGCCCAAGGCGCAUGGGAGAGUGGGAGGGGGCAAACCCUAGGUCCAGAUGGGCCUUAAGGCCCACCCUAGUGGCGCCCCCCCUCUCCUCCCCUUGGCCGCCCCCCUAGAUGGGAUCUAGGGCUGGCCGCCACCCCUUGGGGUGGGAACCCUAGAGGGGGCGCAGCCCCCUCCCCCCCUUAUAUAUAGUUGAGGUUUGGGGCUGCCCAAGAUACGAGAACGUCUCUCUUUCGGCGCAGUCCUACCCCUCUCCCUCCUCCUCCUCUCCCGCAGUGCUUGGCGAAGCCCUGCGGGAUUGCCACGCUCCUCCAUCACCACCAUGCCGUCGUGUUGCUGCUGGAUGGAGUCUUCCCCAACCUCUCCCUCUCUCCUUGCUGGAUCAAGGCGUGGGAGACGUCACCGGGCUGCACGUGUGUUGAACGCGGAGACACCGUUCUUCGGUGCUUAGAUCGGAAUCAACCGCGAUCUGAAUCGCUACGAGUACGACUCCUUCAUCCGCGUUCUUGCAACGCUUCCGCAUCGCGAUCUACAAUGGUAUGUAGAUGCACUCCCCUUCCCCUCGUUGCUAGAUUACUCCAUAGAUUGAUCUUGGUGAUGCGUAGAAAAUUUUGAAUUUCUGCUACGUUCCCCAACAGUGGCAUCAUGAGCUAGGUUUAUGCGUAGUUUCUAUGCACGAGUAGAACACAAAGCAGUUGUGGGCAUAGAUGUUGCCAAUUCUUCUUGCCGCUACUAGUCUUAUCUUGUUUCGGCGGCAUUGUGGGAUGAAGCGGCCCGGACCGACCUUACACGUACGCUUACGUGAGACAGGUUCCACCGACUGACAUGCACUAGUUGCAUAAGGUGGCUAGCGGGUGUCUGUCUCUCCCACUUUAGUCGGAACGGAUUCGAUGAAAAGGGUCCUUAUGAAGGGUAAAUAGAAAUUGGCAUAUCACGUUGUGGUUUUACGUAGGUAAGAAACGUUCUUGCUAGAAACCUAUACAAGCCACGUAAAAACUUGCAACAACAAUUAGAGGACGUCUAACUUGUUUUUGCAGCAUGUGCUAUGUGAUGUGAUAUGGCCAGAAGAUGUGAUGAAUGAUAUAUGUGAUGUAUGAGAUUGAUCAUAUUCUUGUAAUAGGAAUCACGACUUGCAUGUCGAUGAGUAUGACAACUGGCAGGAGCCAUAGGAGUUGUCUUUAUUUUUUGUAUGACCUGCGUGUCAUUGAAUAACGCCAUGUAAAUUACUUUACUUUAUUGCUAAGCGCGUUAGCCAUAGAAGUAGAAGUAAUCGUUGGCGUGACAACUUCAUGAAGACACAAUGAUGGAGAUCAUGAUGAUGGAGAUCAUGGUGUCAUGCCGGUGACAAAGAUGAUCAUGGUGCCCCGAAGAUGGAGAUCAAAGGAGCAAAAUGAUAUUGGCCAUAUCAUGUCACUAUUUGAUUGCAUGUGAUGUUUAUCAUGUUAUGCAUCUUAUUUGCUUAGAACGACGGUAGUAAGUAAGAUGAUCCCUUAUAAUAAUUUCAAGAAAGUGUUCCCCUUAACUGUGCACCGUUGCGAAGGUUCAUUGUUUCGAAGCACCACGUGAUGAUCGGGUGUGAUAGAUUCUAACGUUUGAAUACAACGGGUGUUGACGAGCCUAGCAUGUACCGACAUGGCCUCGGAACACAUGCGAAACACUUAGGUUGACUUGACGAGCCUAGCAUGUACAGACAUGGCCUCGGAACACAAGAGACCAAAAGGUCGAACAUGAGUCGUAUAGCAGAUACGAUCAACAUGGAGAUGCUCACCGAUGAUGACUAGUCCGUCUCACGUGAUGAUCGGACACGGCCUAGUUUGACUCGGAUCAUGUAUCACUUAGAUGACUAGAGGGAUGUCUAUCUGAGUGGGAGUUCAUUAAUCAGAUGAACUUAAUUAUCAUGAACAUAGUCAAAAAGUCUUUGCAAGUUAUGUCAUAGCUUGCGCUUUAAUUCUACUAUUUUAAGAUAUGUUCCUAGAGAAAAUUUAGUUGAAAGUUGGUAGUAGCAAUUAUGCGGACUGGGUCCGUAAACUGAGGAUUGUCCUCAUUGCUGCACAGAAGGCUUAUGUCCUUAAUGCACCGCUCGGUGUGCUGAACCUCAACGUCGUCUGUAGAUGUUGCGAAACAUCUGACAUACACGUUUUGAUGACUACGUGAUAGUUCAGUGCGUAAUGGUAACGGUUUAGAAUUGUGGCACCAAAGACGGUUUUUGAAACGUCGCAGAACAUAUGAGAUGUUCCGAAGACUGAAAUUGGGAUUUCGGACUAGUGCCCACGUCAAGAGGUAUGAGACCUCUGACAAGUUUCUUAAGCCUGCAAACUAAGGGAGAAAAGCUCAAUCGUUGAGCAUGUGCUUAGAUUGUCUGAGUACUACAAUCACUUGAAUCGAGUGGGAGUUAAUCUUCCAGAUGAGAUAGUGAUGGUUCUCCAUAAUCACUGCCACCAAGCUAUUAGAGCUUCGUGAUGAACUAUAAAUAUCAAGGAUAGAUGAUGAUCCUUGAGCAACUCGCGAUGUUUGACACCGCGAAAGUAGAAAUCAAGAAGGAGCAUCAAUUGUUGAUGGUUAGUAAAACCACUAGUUUCUAGAAGGGCAAGGGCAAAAGGGAUACUUCAUGAAACAGCAAAUCAUUUGCUGCUCUAGUAAAGAAUCCCAAGGUUGAACCCAAACCCGAGACUAAGUGCUUCUGUAAUGAGGGGAACGGUCACUGAAGUGGAACUACCCUAGAUACUUGGUAGAUGAGAAGGCAGGCAAGGUCGACAGAAGUAUAUUGGAUAUACAUUAUAUGAAUGUGUACUUUACUAGUACUCCUAGCAGCACCAGGGUAUUAGAUACUGGUUCGGUUGCUAAGUGUUAGUAACUCGAAAUAAAAGCUGUGGAAUAAAUGGAGACUGGAUAAAGGUGAGAUGACGAUGUGUGUUGGAAGUGUUUCCAAGGUUGAUGUGAUCAAGCAUCGCAUGCUCCCUCUACCAUCGAGAUUGGUGUUAAACCUAAAUAAUUGUUAUUUGGUGUUUGCGUUGAGCAUAAACAUGAUUGGAUUAUGUUUAUCGCAAUACAGUUAUUCAUUUAAGGAGAAUAAUGGUUACUCUGUUUAUUUGAAUAAUACCUUCAAUGGUCUUGCACCUAAAAUGAAUCUCGAUCGUAGUGAUACACAUAUUCAUGCCAAAAGAUAUAAGAUAGUAAUGAUAGUACCACAUACUUGUGGCACUGCCACUUGAGUCAUAUUGGUAUAAAACGCAUGAAGAAGCUCCAUGUAGAUGGAUCUUUGGACUCACUCAUUUUUGAAAAGAUUGAGACAUGCGAACCAUGUCUAUUGGUAUAUAUGCAUGAAGAAACUCCAUGCAGAUGGAUCAUUUGGACUCACUUGAUU
rnacentral:lncRNA from 1 species